rnacentral:rRNA from 1 species
AAUCAACGCUGGCGGCGUGCCUCAGACAUGCAAGUCGAACGCGAAACCUUCCUUCGGGAGGGGAGUAGAGUGGCGCACGGGUGAGUAACACGUAGGUAAUCUACCUUUGGGUGGGGAAUAACAGCCGGAAACGGCUGCUAAUACCGCAUAAUGCAGCGGCUCGACAUCGAGACAGUUGUUAAAGCGGGGGAUCGUAAGACCUCGCGCCUAAAGAGGAGCCUGCGGCAGAUAGCUAGUUGGUGGGGUAAUGGCCCACCAAGGCUUUGAUCGGUAGCCGGCCUGAGAGGGCGCACGGCCACACUGGAACUGAAACACGGUCCAGACUCCUACGGGAGGCAGCGGUGGGAAUUUUGCGCAAUGGGGGAAACCCUGACGCAGCAACGCCGCGUGGAGGAUGAAGUCCCUUGGGACGUAAACUCCUUUCGACCGGGAAGAUUAUGACGGUACC